rnacentral:tmRNA from 1 species
ACCAAGUAAGAACUAUAUAUGUAGAAAGCUUUUUUGCUGCUUGUUUGGACCCGAGUUCGAUUCUCGGCGUCUCCACAA